UUUACGCAGCGCCCGUGCCCAGCGUCGGAGCCUCCGCGCGGAGCGGGGCCGCGGACACGCCGCGCUCCGCCACGCUCCCGCGGCCCCGCGCCGCCGGCCCGCCGCGGGGGGAGGGGGGGUGGCAGGACACCCCCCUUCCCUCCCAGCGCCGCCUCGCCCCGGCGGGCUCCUGGGUUUCGGAACGGGACUUGGCGGAGAUGGGGGGUGGGGACCCGGCGUGGCGGGGGACGGCGGAGCCGAUCGCCCGUGGGUCCUGUGGAUAUUAUGGUGGCAGCCGGAUGGAUGGAUGUAGGAAGCCGCGGGAGACUUUGUCCUUCGCGAAUCUUUUUGCGGUCUGGGCUUGCUGUACAUAACUACCUACCCGGGAAGCCCUUACCCCAAAAAGCAUUCGCGGAGGGCGCAUUCGCCGAAGGAGCAGCAGCUGCGAUCGCCGAGCCUUGGACUUAUCUAGACUCUGUGGGCUUCUAUUAUUAAUUCCUGGCACCUUUCCCUUUCCCCCGUCCAACCCACCCUCCCCAACCCCACCUCCCGCUGUGAGUGUAUAUAUGUGUCUCUAGAUAUAUAUGUAGUGAGAGAAAUAAACACCCUUUCCCCCCUUUCCUUCUCCGCUUCGUCCCCCAGACGUCCAAAUAUUCCCCGUCGCCUAACUUUUUAAUCGACUUUUGCCUAAAGGAGCAAAUCACACGUUUAUUCGGAUAACUGUAUGGUGUUUUUUAUUUCAUUAAUGGAAAAAUAAAAAUAGAAUAAAACUUCCUAAAAGUUCUCCUAUCCUCACCGACCCCCACCCCCCCACCGACCCCCCUCCUUCCAGGGCAUAGCCGUGUUUGAAAAUAUGGGUGUCCUAGUUGAUCGAGAUUAAUUCAUAAAAAAAAUGUAUUCGGAGCGAUUCAUUAAAUGCUCUGUAAUCGUGAGCCUCGGUUUAUUUCGAGGUGGGGAGGGUGGGAUUUACUGGGAUCACCCUAUAAAUAAUAGGGAGGGAGGAGGAGGAGGGGGAGGUGCACGGAUCCGCCGCGGUUUGGGGGAGACCCCAGUUAGCAGGAGAUGCACCAUGGAAGCGCUUGCCAAAGGCGCCUCCCUCCCCCCUGCCCACUUCCAACCUGAUUUUAAGCAACUUGCAGUCCGGUGAUAUCUCCACUCACUCUUUCCGCAAAAACUAGUGCCCCCCAAAAGGGUAAAAAAGGCAGAAUCCGAGGGAAAACCCAGCCGAGGCGAUGCUUUUGGACGAGGUGAUUGCAAGCGAGCAAAGCAGCAUCAGCACCAGCUCUGUGGUUCUGAAACUGCCUUGUGCAUGAACACAGCACUGAGAGCAUCUCAGGCAGGAGUUAGAGAAGCUGCAUUUUCCCUCUCUUUGCAGUAAUUACCAGCCCGGAUUCCGUGGGCAAGAAAUAAAUAGCAAAGAGAAAUCCUCUCUGCCUGCCGCCCCCCAAAAGAAGGAACGAUUAAGCGCAGAUCUGUCCGUGCAGAUCAGCCUCGUGAAAGAGACAAGAUCUAAGCAGCAAGUUGGUAGCAGAGUGGCCGCUUGACGCAACACAGGGGCCUAUGGUUCGCCCGGCUGUAAAAUAAAAAGGAGGUGGGGGUGCGAUCUAAUGUCUCAGCUGUUAGAAAACACAAGGGCUCUCCCAUCUGCCCCCCCUCGACAGCCGCACGGAGGGAGACCCGGCUGAGAAAGGGCUGAUCUUGCAUUUCAGGGAAGCCUGCAUUGGAGAGAUCGGGUGAGGACCACAAUCUAAGAGUUACUAUUUCUCGAGAAAUAAAAGAUAUUUUGAAGACUUGCUCGCACUUUGGAAAAGAGUAAAAGGCUGGCUAAGGGACAAGUGAGAAAAGAAAGCAGAGCAAAAGCACAUCAUUGCUCCCUUCCCUCCUUCUUGCUCAGGACACGUAGCUUGAGCACUAGCUAGCUUGAUGAAAACAAAGGUGGAAAGGUCACAAUACCUUUUAAGUAGACUUACAUUUUCAUAAUUAUUUAUCCUCUUCUAUUUAGAGAAAAAAAAAGACGUUUGUACUUUCCGGUGGCCAGCAAACAUCUUUACGUGGGUUUUAUUCAUGUGAGCAUAUUCUAAAGGGAGAGACAAGGUAGAGGGAACUUGGGAAAAAAAGAAGAGAUGUGAUAAGAGGGAUCAGCCAAGCUAAGGCUGAAAAAAAUCCUCUCUGUUCCCUGCCUACUGUCGUCCCUCAAGAGAAUGGAGACCAGGAGUGAUUUGGGGGGGCAGCUCAGGCGCGAAGGGAAAUCCGAGCCACGGUGGUGCAGCUCCCCGUCUCUUUACCUUGCCAGCCAACUGUUGCUGCCAUGCUCAGGGCUGCGGCUGCUGCGGGCGGAGCGGGAGCCGCUCCCUUCUGCUUGGGGCUGCCCCUGGCCGGGCUCCACAGGGCGCCUCUCGCCAGCCGCCCUGCCCCGCUCCCUGCCCUGCCCCGCUCCGUGCCCUCGCUCCUCGCAGGUUCCUGCCCGCUGCAGAGCCUUGCACACGUCGGGCGGCCCGGCCCGCUGCCGCUCCCGGCCGGGCACCGCCCGCGGCAUCGGCCCCGGGGCAGCCCCGGCCCUCUCCUCCCGCCGCCCGGCUCUUGCCCGGCCCUGCCAAGGCGCGUCCCGGCCUGGCCUCGCCUCCCCCGACGUGCUGUGCCGGGUCUGGGCCUGAGGCAGCUGGAGGGGCUCCUCUCUGGUAGCCUGUGUGUGUGUAUGUAUGUAUAUAUAUGUAUAUGUAUAUCCCCAGGGGUGAUAGGGACGUCCGGGUGGGGCCGUGAGCCAGACUCCGCUCCCCUGGACGCUUCGGGGCAGGCCGCAGCCAGGUGCGGCCGCGCCGUCGAGCCCAGAGGUGCCGCGGGAGCAGCGAGGGCCGCGGGCAGAUUCCUCAGGACAAAUUUCUUCUGCAAGUCCUUUCAGAGGAGACCUACCAGUGAAAUGCCCACAAUAACACAUUGAAAAGGAGAUGAUGAAAUAAAAUGGCAAGGACUAUGUGGAACCAAACAGCAAGUGCUGGCUGUCUUCUUGUAGAAAAUCCUUACAUUGCUCAAGCAUCUCUACUCUAUUCCUCCAUUUGCUUCAUGCCCCACAAGAGAGUGUGGCACAGCCCCUGUUCUGGGACAGAAGGACGGACGUCCAAGGGACAUGGGAAUUUCUUCUCAGAUGCUUGUGCCAUAUCCACCUGUCCUCUGGAAGACAAAAGAGUGAAGAUCAGCAGUGUGUCAUUUAUUCUGCAAAAACUGAACUGAUGAGAACUGCUGUGACAGCCAAUAGAAGAAAUUAAAAAUUAAGGAAAGGCUGGUAUGGAACAAGAGGAAAAUUAUCCCAGCAUUUUGCACUUUUUUGUAAUCAAAGUCCUGUCUUUGGAGGGUGUUAUAUCAACUACACACUUGGUGAGGCCUGUAAGGAUUUCCCUUGUGUAACACCUGCACGAUUUAGCCUUAGCGUAUCACACUAUUCUAAAAGUGAUGUCCAGUAAGCAAUAGGUGGACUCUCUUGGGAAAAAUGCAGGAAGAAAACUUGGUGAGAGCUGGAUCCUCUGCAGUGUCAUCUCUCAUGAAGGAUUGACAAAAGGAAGAAAAAAAAAAGUGAACUAAUACUGGAAGGAUGGAUUGGAUGCUGCCUGUUGUAGAACAGGAUAAAAUCCUGUGACAUGUUCCUUCCUAUUAGGUGGGAUACUACUGCUUAUGAUAAAGAUUGAUUUCUAAAAAUCCAUUGUAAAGCUAUAGGUCAGCAAAUAAGAUAGUGACUUGACUAAUUUUUCAUUUCAAAAUGUAUGAUAAUUUCAUGCCUUUAACUGACAUCAGUGCAGUGUGUUGUUGAAUCCAAUGAAAUUUGAAUCCCACUAUGAAUUUGUUUUCCACAAAUAGAUUAUGAACAGAAGCCUUUGAUUUCUAUUAUGUAUUUUUGAGUGAAAAGCUAUUUUGUGUAUAUAUAUUUAAUAUCAGGAAAUGUAGCAAAUGUUUAUUUUUAUUAAACUAAUAAACGGGAUAAAACCUA